AUGUGUGUCCCAAAGGAUAGAGGUGGCAUGGAUUUUCGUGAUAUGCACGGUUUUAAUCCGGCAAUGCUUGCUAAACAAUGUUGGAGGCUCACUGAGCAUCAUGAUUAUGUAAGGGUGCUUCGACCAAAGUACUUCCCCUCUGGUGAGUCGCUCAAUUGUGAGUUAAAAAGGGCUCAUCUUAUGUCUAUGUAA
rnacentral:rRNA from 1 species